AGUGAACGCUGGCGGUAGGCCUAACACAUGCAAGUCGAACGGCAGCACAGUAAGAGCUUGCUCUUACGGGUGGCGAGUGGCGGACGGGUGAGGAAUACAUCGGAAUCUACUUUUUCGUGGGGGAUAACGUAGGGAAACUUACGCUAAUACCGCAUACGACCUACGGGUGAAAGCAGUGGAUCUUCGGACCUUGCGCGUUUGAAUGAGCCGAUGUCGGAUUAGCUAGUUGGCGGGGUAAAGGCCCACCAAGGCGACGAUCCGUAGCUGGUCUGAGAGGAUGAUCAGCCACACUGGAACUGAGACACGGUCCAGACUCCUACGGGAGGCAGCAGUGGGGAAUAUUGGACAAUGGGCGCAAGCAUGAUCCAGCCAUACCGCGUGGGUGAAGAAGGCCUUCGGGUUGUAAAGCCCUUUUGUUGGGAAAGAAAAGCAGCAGGUUAAUACCCCGCUGUUCUGACGGUACCAAAAGAAUAAGCACCGGCUAACUUCGUG
rnacentral:rRNA from 1 species